UCCCGCUGGCCAAUAGCGUAUAUUAAAGUUUUUGCAUUUAAAAAAGCUCGUAGUUGAAUUUCGGGAUUAGUAGGUUGGUCAUGCCUAUGGUAAUGCACUGGCUUUACUGAUUCCUCCUUCUUGAUGAUCUGUAAUGUCAUUAAUUUGGUGUUGCAAGGAGUCCAGGA
rnacentral:rRNA from 1 species